rnacentral:rRNA from 1 species
AUGGCUGUUGAAGCCUUGUCCAAAAUGAUUCGCAACGCCCAAGAAGAAGGUCUGCUGACAGGUCUUGCCCCAGACCUGAUUAGUGGGGGGGUAGCUAUUCUUCAAUACGCUGAUGACACUGUCAUCUGUCUUGAGCAUAAUAGAGAAGCUGCAAUUAAUCUCAAGCUUUUACUAUACAUUUUUGAACUCAUGUCUGGGCUUAAAAUAAAUUUCCUAAAGAGUGAAAUACUCUGUGUAGGAGGGGAUGAUAAUCUGUUAACCUUCUACUCUGAUCUGUUUAAUUGUCAGAUAGGGCAUUUUCCUAUGAGAUAUUUGGGAGUGCCUGUAAGCUUUUCCACUCUACGAGCUCUUGACUGGAGCUUUGCGGAUGAUAAAUUCCUUAAAUGUUGUGAGUCAUGGAUUGGUAAUUCGGCUUCCUCAGGGGGAAGAUUGACACUCCUUAAUUCUUCCCUUACAAGUAUCAUUUAUUACUACAUGUCUAUGUUCAUGCUCCCUAAAAAGAUCAUUGAGAAGUUG